AAGGAUGUGACUCAGUGGUAGAGUGUCAGCCUGGCAUGUAUGAAGCCCUGGGUUUAAAUCCUAGCACCAUAA
rfam:Ictidomys tridecemlineatus contig074965, whole genome shotgun sequence.